rnacentral:rRNA from 1 species
AGAGUUUGAUCAUGGCUCAGGACGAACGCUGGCGGCGUGCCUAAUACAUGCAAGUCGAGCGGACGGAUGGGAGCUUGCUCCCUGAAGUCAGCGGCGGACGGGUGAGUAACACGUGGGCAACCUGCCUGUAAGACUGGGAUAACUCCGGGAAACCGGGGCUAAUACCGGAUAACUCUUUCCCUCACAUGAGGGAAAGCUGAAAGAUGGUUUCGGCAAUCACUUACAGAUGGGCCCGCGGCGCAUUAGUUAGUUGGUGAGGUAACGGCUCACCAAGGCCACGAUGCGUAGCCGACCUGAGAGGGUGAUCGGCCACACUGGGACUGAGACACGGCCCAGACUCCUACGGGAGGCAGCAGUAGGGAAUCUUCCGCAAUGGACGAAAGUCUGACGGAGCAACGCCACGUGAGUGAUGAAGGUUUUCGGAUCGUAAAACUCUGUUGUCAGGGAAGAACAAGUACCGGAGUAACUGCCGGUACCUUGACGGUACCUGACCAGAAAGCCACGGCUAACUACGUGCCAGCAGCCGCGGUAAUACGUAGGUGGCAAGCGUUGUCCGGAAUUAUUGGGCGUAAAGCGCGCGCAGGCGGUUCCUUUAGUCUGAUGUGAAAGCC